CUGUGACCAGCCCAGGGCUCAGGAAGUGACUCUUGCUUUGGUUCUGCCUGGGGUGCCUGUCACACUUUCCGAUGGUUGAUCAGCUCUGCCGGAAACAUGGAGGGCCUGGCCUUCAAUGGGUCUGGGGGCAGCUCUGCUCCCACCCCAGGGAGGGUCUUUGGGCACUGAGAGAAGAAUCUGAAGAGGCCAGGUGCCGGCAAACAGCUCCGCAAAGAGAUGCUGAAGGUAGAAGGCUGGUGUUUUUUUGGGAGAGGAAGAAUGCUGCAGAGAUGUCAUUUGUACAUUCCAGAAAAAUGUGCUGAAUUAUUAGAGUGUUCCAGGCCCCGUACUAGAUGCUGGGGAAACAGUGGUGAACCAGGUAGGCCCAUCGCCUAUGCCCGGGCUUUCAGUCUAGUGGGGACACAUGGGCACUGAUGAAACAGGGUGAUAUGUGCUGUCAGGGAAGAGAACACGAAGAGAAGGCCACGGGGCCCUGGACCAGGUGCAGUGUCACAUCUAAGCUGAGACUUGAAGAACAUGCAAGACAUUACCAAGUGAAGGAGGAGACAAAGAGCACGGAGAAGAAAGCCAGAAGAGAAUGCCAGGGCCAGAAGUCUGGGAGCACAUGAGUCCCUUCUGCUCAGGCUCUAAAAUAGUUGAAGCAGGGGGAGGAGGGAAGCCCCAGGUCUCCUUCUGAGUUGCCACUUAGAAAGCUGGACCCGGCAGGUCCAAGAUGGACAUGGAACAGAGGAAAUGGGAUCUCACUUGCAUCAGAGGAGACAAAGGAAUCAAGAAGGGUCGCUGCUUGGUUUAGCUUACCCCAUCCUCCCCCUGGAGGCUGUCUGAGUUGUCUCUGGGGAACCCGUCCUCUUCUCACCUAAUGGCAAUGAAUCAUGAUCUGGUGGAGAUGGGGACAGGUCGAAAUCUUGGCAAAGAAAAGAGGAAUAAAGGAGCUCUAUGGGGGCCAUGCAUUUCUCUGUCAACUCUCAAGUUCCCCAAUGACAGG
ensembl:lncRNA